rnacentral:rRNA from 1 species
AGCGUGGAGACAGGUGGUGCAUGGCUGUCGUCAGCUCGUGUCGUGAGAUGUUGGGUUAAGUCCCGCAGCGAGCGCAACCCUCACCUCUUGUUGCCAUCAGGUCAUGCUGGGCACUCUAGAGGAACUGCCCCGGUCAACGGGGAGGAAGGCGGGGAUGACGUCAAGUCAUCAUGCCCCUUACGUCCUGGGCUACACACGUGCUGCAAUGGCCGGUACAAAGGGAUGCCACACCGCGAGGUAGAGCUAAACCCAAAAAGCCGGUCUAAGUUCAGAUUGGAGUCUGCAACUCGACUCCAUGAAGGAGGAAUCGCUAGUAAUCGCGUAUCAGCACGACGCGGUGAAUACGUUCCCGGGCCUUGUACACACCGCCCGUCACACCACGAAAGCCUGCUGUACUCGAAGUCGCUGAG